GGAGGGGCGUGGUACUGGGAGGAUCAUUGGGGGGUAUUCAGGGUUGUCGCUGGGCUCGCUGGCGCGAGGCAUGGGCACGCUUCUCGUUUUUCUCUCAACUCACCUGUGCACCUAAUGUAGGAUGCCUCUCCUCCGGGAGGGGGGACCUGUGUCUUCGUAGCAUCUUCGUGUAGAAAGUCUUUGAAUGUUUACUAGCAUCGAGUCGCGACUUCUAGGAGACGCGAUUCUUUGAGAUAAAAGUUAUUACAACUUUCAGCAACGGAUCUCUUGGCUCUCGCAUCGAUGAAGAACGCAGCGAAGAGCGAUAUGUAAUGUGAAUUGCAGAUCUACAGUGAAUCAUCGAAUCUUUGAACGCACCUUGCGCUCCUCGGUGUUCCGAGGAGCAUGCCUGUUUGAGUGUCAGUAAAUUCUCAACCCCUCUCGAUUAUCUUCGAGAGGGCGCUUGGAUAGUGGAGGUUGCCGGAGACUUGGAUUCUUCCGAGACUCGGGCUCUUCUGAAAUGCGUCGGCUUGCGGUCGACUUUCGACUAUGUGCGACAAGGCUUUCGGCGUGAUAAUGAUCGCCGUUCGCUGAAACGCAUGACUGAACGUCCCGUGCCUCUAAUGUGUCGACCGCUUAUUAUCUCUCCGGAGAGAACAGGGUCUUCCUUAUUGACUUUUGACCUCAAAUCAGGUAGGACUACCCGCUGAAGUUAAGCAUAUC
rnacentral:rRNA from 1 species